UACGUAGGGGGCGAGCGUUGUCCGGAGUUACUGGGUGUAAAGGGCACGCAGGCGGUGCGGCGCGUUUCGCGUGACAGCGGAGGGCUUAACUCUCCGAGGAUGCGAAAGACGGCGGCACUUGAGGGCCAGAGAGGGACACGGAAUUCCGGGUGGAGUGGUGAAAUGCGUAGAGAUCCGGAGGAACACCGAAGGCGAAGGCAGUGUCCUGGCUGGUGACUGACGCUGAGGUGCGAAAGCUAGGGGAGCGAACGGG
rnacentral:rRNA from 1 species